rnacentral:tRNA from 1 species
ACUAUAAUAGUUUAAAUAAAACAAUGGUUUUGUAAACCUUAAUUGAUCCAACUCUUAUAGUA